GAAAAUUACAAGCAUAAGCUCAAAACUCAAAGGACUUGGCGGCGCUUUAGAUCCUCCUAGAGGAGCCUGUCCUGUAACCGAUAAUCCCCGUUAAACCUUACCUUCUUUUGCCUCCAGUCUAUAUACCGCCGUCGUCAGCUUACCCUUUGAGGGCUCUAUUAGUAAGCAAGUUCGGUCGAGCCUCAGACGUCAGGUCGAGGUGUAGCAUAUAAGAAGUGAAGAGAUGGGCUACAUUUCCUCCCAGGGUCUCACGAAUAGUAAAUUGAAACAUAUACAUUGAAGAAGGAUUUAGUAGUAAGUAAAAAAUAGAGAGUUUUACUGAAACCGGCCCUGAAGCGCGCACACACCGCCCGUCGCUCUCUCCUAGUCUUCAUUCUACUUUUACAUUAAAUUACUACAUCAGCAAAGGAGAGACAAGUCGUAACAUGGUAAGUGUACUGGAAAGUGCACUUGGUUAAAC
rnacentral:rRNA from 1 species